rnacentral:ncRNA from 1 species
UUGUGGUUCAACUUUACGUUGAUUAAAAUGGGAACAAGGUGUAAAUCCUUGACUGUCCCGCAGCUGUAAGCUGCCCUUAUACAGGAACAAGCACCAUAGUCACUGAGAUUUUCGGGAAGACGCUUGUAUCCAGGCAGCAAGUCAGAAGACCUGCCAUGACG